GACGAACGCUGGCGGCGCGCUUAACACAUGCAAGUCGAGCGAGAACCAGGCCUUCGGGCCUGGGGACAGCGGCGAACGGGUGAGUAACACGUGAGUAAUCCACCCUCGGCACCGGAAUAGCCCGGGGAAACCCGGAUUAAUGCCGGAUGGCCCAUCCGCUUUUCGGAGCGGCUGGAAAAGGCAGCUUCGGCCUCCGGCCGAGGACGAGCUCGCGGCGGAUUAGCUUGUUGGUGGGGUAACGGCUCACCAAGGCGACGAUCCGUAGCUGGUCUGAGAGGACGAUCAGCCACACUGGGACUGAGACACGGCCCAGACUCCUACGGGAGGCAGCAGUGGGGAAUCUUGCGCAAUGGGCGAAAGCCUGACGCAGCGACGCCGCGUGAGGGAAGAAGGCCUUCGGGUUGUAAACCUCUUUCAGGAGGGACGAAGCCACUCGGGUGAAUAGCCCAGAGGGUGACGGUACCUCCAGAAGAAGCCCCGGCUAACUACGUGCCAGCCGCCGCCGUAAAAC
rnacentral:rRNA from 1 species